rnacentral:rRNA from 1 species
GACAGAGGGUGCAAACGUUGUUCGGAAUUACUGGGCGUAAAGCGCGUGUAGGCUGUCUCGAAAGUCGGAUGUGAAAGCCCUGGGCUCAACCUAGGAAGUGCAUUCGAAACUUCGAGACUCGAGUCCUGGAGGGGAUCGCGGAAUUCUCGGUGUAGAGGUGAAAUUCGUAGAUAUCGAGAGGAACACCGGUGGCGAAGGCGGCGAUCUGGACAGUGACUGACGCUGAGGAGCGAAAGCGUGGGGAGCGAACAGG